GCUGAUUACUGAGCGGUUCUUCCUCACCUGGCUUGGGCCACUGUGCACAGCUGUGCCACUGGCUCAGCCCCGCCCCCUGCGGCCCUCCGCCGUGGCUUCCCCAUCCCUACAGAGAGAUGCUGUCCCAUGGGGUGGGGGAUCAGGUGACCCAUAUUCGGAUCCAGAACUCAGGGGAUUUCUAUGACCUGUAUGGAGGGGAGAAGUUCGCGACUCUGACAGAGCUGGUGGAGUACUACACUCAGCAGCAGGGCGUCCUGCAGGACCGCGACGGCACCAUCAUCCACCUCAAGUACCCGCUGAACUGCUCCGAUCCCACUAGUGAGAGGUGGUACCAUGGCCACAUGUCUGGCGGGCAGGCAGAGACGCUGCUGCAGGCCAAGGGCGAGCCCUGGACGUUUCUUGUGCGUGAGAGCCUCAGCCAGCCUGGAGACUUCGUGCUGUCUGUGCUCAGUGACCAGCCCAAGGCUGGCCCAGGCUCCCCGCUCAGGGUCACCCACAUCAAGGUCAUGUGCGAGGGUGGACGCUACACAGUGGGUGG
rnacentral:sRNA from 1 species